rnacentral:rRNA from 1 species
CUACGGGAGGCAGCAGUGGGGAAUCUUGGACAAUGGGCGCAAGCCUGAUCCAGCCAUCCCGCGUGAAGGACGACGGCCCUAUGGGUUGUAAACUUCUUUUGUACAGGGAUAAACCUAUUUACGUGUAAAUAGCUGAAGGUACUGUACGAAUAAGCACCGGCUAACUCCGUGCCAGCAGCCGCGGUAAUACGGAGGGUGCAAGCGUUAUCCGGAUUUAUUGGGUUUAAAGGGUCCGUAGGCGGAUCUGUAAGUCAGUGGUGAAAUCUCACAGCUUAACUGUGAAACUGCCAUUGAUACUGCAGGUCUUGAGUAAGGUAGAAGUGGCUGGAAUAAGUAGUGUAGCGGUGAAAUGCAUAGAUAUUACUUAGAACACCAAUUGCGAAGGCAGGUCACUAUGUCUUAACUGACGCUGAUGGACGAAAGCGUGGGGAGCGAACAGGAUUAGAAACCCGUGUAGUCC